rnacentral:lncRNA from 1 species
AUGGGCGCGAGUAGUGACCCGACCCAAGACGGGUCGGACGAGCAGCAGAAGCGGUCGGAGAUCUAUACGUACGAGGCGCCAUGGCACAUCUACGCCAUGAACUGGAGCGUCCGCCGUGACAAGAAGUACCGUCUGGCCAUCGCCUCUCUCCUCGAACAGUACCCUAACCGCGUCGAGAUCGUGCAGCUGGACGACUCCAACGGCGAGAUCCGCUCCGACCCCAACCUCUCCUUCGAGCACCCCUACCCUCCCACCAAGGCCAUCUUCAUCCCCGACAAGGACUGCCACCGCCCCGACCUCCUCGCUACCUCCUCCGACUUCCUCCGAGUCUGGCGCAUCGCCGACACCGACG